rnacentral:lncRNA from 1 species
CAAGCCAAUACAAGACAUUCAAAUUUAUUCAAAAUCAAGUCUUAUGCAUGAUAUAACACCUCUUAUAACCAAGUAUAAAAACUUACCUAACUUAACAAAUUCACAUAAAAGCAUAUUUUACCAAAUAUGUUAACUUAAUUUAAUCAUUAAUAUACCAAUGUGAUUCUAUAAACUAACCAUUUCAAACACAUAUCAAACAUGAUAUAGCCUCUUAUAUUCACAUCAAAACUUGUACACCACAAGCCAUUCCAAUGGCUAAUUACAACCAAAACAUUUUUAUAUUAACAUUGGCUAAGUUAACUUAUACAUGCCAUUAUAACCAAAGUUGAUUUAUUAAAUAUACCGAGAUGAGCCGAUAGAUAGUGUGAUAAUAUCUCCGCCAAGCUUCCAACCCAACGAGCUUCCGAAUUACUAAAGAAUAGAGGAAAUAAAACAGAAGAAGCAUAUUAUACUUAGUAAGUUCGUAUAACGGGAAAUUAACUUACCAUCUAUUUAUAUUUAAAGUAAGCAUGCAAAAUUCAUCCAAAGGAAUUUGGCAAUUUGCCUAAACACAUAUAUCCUUAAGAAACAUGUUAGUCAUGUACUUCAUGUGAAUAUCAAAAAACAAGGAUGAGCUCAUCAUGUAACAAUUUUCAUAUACAUAUGUUUUUUACAUCAUAUAUUCAUAUAACAUGUACAUUUGCAAAAUAAUUUAUCUCAAGUUCAGAUUAUUCCAUGUCGAAAUUUUACCCGUUAAAUUUAUUUGAAAUGUCAAUAGAUACACAGGUAGUACACUUGAAGUGUACAAAACUGUAAUCCGUCAAUUCAUAUUCAGGAAUGCUCAUACGAGCACAUAAAUGGGAAGCUUUCCCUCGAGCCAUAUAACAAGAAGCUCAUUUGAGCUGUAUAACGGGAAACUUAUCUGGGCUGUAUAACGGGAAGAUCAUAAGAGCCAUAUUCAGGAAGCUUCGGAUAGCCAUAUAUCGAGAAGCUCAAGCGAGCCAUAUCGAGAAGCUCCGGAGAGCCAUUAAUCAGGAAGCUUAAAAAGAGUCUUUAAUCGGGAAGCUCCGAAAAGCCAUAUAACGGGAUGCUCAAAAGAGCUAUGAUGUGCCCACAACACAUACAGGAUCACGACCAAUCGGGAUGCUCCGAAGAGCUAUUAACAGGAAGCUUGCAAGAACCAUAUAACGAGAAGCUCGAGAGGGUCAUAUAUUAGGAUGCUAAUGAGAGCUAAUAACGGGACGCUCUUUCAAGCUGUGGUGUGUCUGCAAUAAAUAUAGGACCACAACCAAUUCGAAAACCCUAUAUCUAUCGAAUUUUAUUUAUUCAAAUGAGACUUAAUACUUGUCGGGCAUUAUCAGAUAUGUGAUCAAUUUCAUAUAUAUGGCAUUUAUACAAUUCACAUAUACAACAUUCAAUUCAAACAUUUAAAUGUACACAAUUUAGUUACACGAACUUACCUUGACAAGUGUUCGUGAAGUGUAAUCUACUAAUCCAAUAUUUUUUUCUUUUCUUCGAUCAAAUUCCGUAUUCGAUUUUUAUCAGUUUGUAUUGGUUUGCUUAUUACCCUGUUUAAUAGGGGUGGUUGGAUUGUUGGACCUACUGAUUCCCAGUUCAAUCGAUCAAUUUGGUUCCAACAACAUUGCAAUACAUUAUAUGUUGAGGUAGUUAUGAGAGUAAGUACAACUAUACUUGAUGUUCCUCAAGUUUCAUGACUUGCAUUAUUUGGAAUUGUUAAUCUUUUGAAAAUAAAAAAUUGAGCAAUGACUUUAUUGAUUUUGUAGACUUGUGUUGGCUAUUUUUCAAGAUUGAUAAUUUGAAGCAACAAAUUGUUACGUAGUUGAUCAAAUUGGAUCAAGUAAAUCGGAUCUCUCGAAUUAAAGAGAAUAGGUCAAUUGAUUUGAAGACUUAUGUUGGAUAUCUUCAUAUUGUCUUAGACUUUAUUAAUAUAUUCUAAAUGUUGAUUUAAUUGUGGGGAUUAUGAUUAUAUUUUGAUUUACAUGUUAGCAAGUCAAAAAAAUUUCUUAUAUAUGUUCAUUAGAAAUUGUUAUUGAGAAUGCCUUUGUGUAAAUAAAACGAUUGAGUAGUGAGAAAGAGAUCUAGAUGUUAGGAGUAAAGGUAAAGUUGUUACACUAAUGAGUGCUAGAACUUAAUUCAUUAUUUGGACAAGGUUAAAGAUAAGAAUUUGUCUCUUUAGAGUAAAUAUAGGUAAAAACCGAAAUACGUAGCUAAUUUUUUUUUAAUUGUUGUUCUUCACUACUUACGCCUAUUAGUUAUAAUUGCUGUUUACAACUGCUCAUAUUGUUAUUGCUAAAAUUCACUGUUUUCUACACAAUAUAUGUGUAUUGUAUACUAAAAUUACAUAUAAAUUACGUACAUAAAUAUAUAUUUUAUCUAUCUAUAAUCUAAUAAUGUAUAAAACACAAGUUUGAAGAAUCUUUUGAAUUUGUGAAAAUAUCCUUUAUAUUUUUUAUCAUAAACUAAAUUCAUAUUUAAAAAUAAUUAUAAUAUUUAAUUUAGAAUUAUUAGAUAAAAAAGUUGAAAUAAAAUAAAAUUUUUUAUAAUUAUACAUUUAAAAAUAAUUAUUAUUUAAUAGAAGUUAUAAUAACUACACAUUUAGAAUUUAAAUUACAAUUAUUAGCUAAUUUUAAAAUAUAGUUAUUAUUUAAAUACAACUAUAAACAUAAAAUAUAAGAAAAGAUUUAAUUUUAUUGAUGUAAAAUAAAAUUAUUAUUUUAAAAGAAUUCUAAGCAUAUGAAUUAUCACUUAAUUAAUAUUAAAUUUAAUUAGUUAUUAUUUUAAUGUUACUUUUUCUUAAUUACAUAAAAUAAAACUAUAUUGUAUGUUAAAUAUGUUAAAAAUGCUUUAAUUAUCAUUUGAAAAUCUUCUAUUAUAAUAUUUGAAUUGAUAAAUUAAUCUAUUCUUUAAUUUUAUUCAACAAUUCAAAUUAAAAAUAUUAUUUUACGUGCCGAUUGAGUUUUAGCUCGAUUGGCAUGAACAUUAUUACAAAUGCAGGAGAAUGUGGGUUCGAAUUGUGCUAAAGCAUGCUAUCCUUCUAUUUAUGGGUUGGAGAAAGGCUAUAGGUAGUUCUAGGUAUUGUGUUAAAAACAACAUAUAUAAUCAGAACUUAUAAUGAGAUUAUUCAAAAAAAUAUACGUUAUUUUAUGCUAAUUGUUGGAAUUAAAAGAAAAUUUAAAAAACUAAUUAAAUAUUAAACGUCUAAAACCAAAGUUAGUAUAUAUAAAAGCAUAAUUUUGAAAACAACAAUAUGCUUUAUUAUUAAUUAUAUUACAAAAUUGAUAUUUAAAUAAAAAUUUAUUAGUGUUAUUAGGUGAUAAUAAUAAAAGUAAUAUUAAUUAAUAUGAUAUUAUAUUAAUUAAAAAUUAAUUAAUUUCGUCAUAUUUUUAAAAGUUUUACUUUAAAAAAGCAUAAUAUAUUAUUAGUUAAUAAAAUUAUAAAUCAAUAAAAUCACUGAAUAUAAUUAGAUAAAUUAAAAAUAAUAAAAAUAAAAAAUUUUAAUUAAAUAAAUAUAAUUUUAUAUAUAAAUAUGAUUUCUUUAAAUAUGAUAAUAUUUAAUAAUGUUAAAACCAAUAAUUUAUAAUUAAUAAAAAUUAAAUGUGUUAGAUUAACAUUAUAUAUAAAAAGAUAAUAUUAAUAUAUUAGUAAUCAAAUUUAUAAUGUAUAAACUAAUUAAUUUAUAUUAAUAAUAGUUAUUACCACUUAAUUAGACUUUAAAUCCAUAUUAAAAUACACUUAUUAUUUUAGAUUAAUUCACAAUUAAUUAGUGUUACAAUUAUAGGCCAAUUAAAACUAAUAUUUAGCCCUAUAAAUACAUGUAUUAGCAAAACAUUUUCAUUCAAAAUAACAUAUACAGAGUUACACAAGAAAAACCAUAUUUUAACAUCAUUUAAUAGAUUUUGUUUCAAUCACCAAAAAAGGUAUAAUUUUCAUUAUUGCUUGAAAUGUUGAAUUAUUAUUUGAUAUUCGAUAGUUGAUUUCAAUAAUAUUUAACAUAAUUGUGAAUAUUGUUUAUCAUUGGGUUGUGAAAUGUUAUGUCAAAGACAAUAAAGUAUUAACGUAAUGGUUCUUUGUAGGUGAAAUUUUGACUCAUAUUCCAAUGACAUUAUUUUAUCUAAUUACUUAAUAUUGUACUAAAUCAUUACUUCUAAUGUUAUUUUAUUCUUUCAAUCAUUUUUCAAAAUUAAUAGACUUUUAUUAAAAAUUAGAACAAUUAUCAUUUAAUUAAAAUAAACAUUUUUAAAAAUGUUAUAAAAUAUAUUAUUUAAUAAAUUUAAAAUAAACAUGUAAAACCAUAUGUAACUCAUGUGACAUUAAAACUAAUAAUAUAUAAAAAGCACCUUUAGAGAAGUUUUUGAACUAAUGAAAAUACUUUUUAUAAUAAAAAAGUAAUAUUAAUUAAUAUGAUACCAUAUUAACGUGAAAUUAAUUUGAUAAUAUUUUUAGAAGUUUUACAUAAAAAUAACAUAAAAUAUUAUUAAUUAAUAAAAUUAUAAAUCUAUAAAAUAAUUGAAUAAAUUUAAAAAUAAUAAAAAUCCAAUUUUUUUAAUCAAAUAAAUAUCAAAAAAUCAUAUAUAUAAUUUUAUUUUAAAUAUGAUACUAAUUGAAGAAAUAAGAACAUCACGUAGUAAAUCAACAAAGCCCAAAGUUAUGUCCUUUUCUCCUUCAAGUUUACCUACUACUGUACCAGCGUGAAUAUGAUCUCCACCAGACAUACGUAAAGCUUUAGCUAGUACACGAAAGUGCAUUUUUUUAUUUUUCAUUAGUUUUAGAACAUUAUUUUAUUUUUAAUUAUUUUUCAAAUUUAGUUUUACUUCAUUUAAUCAUUAUUUAAAAUAACAAAUAAUAAGAAAGAAAGAAAGAGUGCUGAAUAACACGUUUUCUCUGUUGGCUGAAUUGCUGCAAAAUUGGAAGGAAAAUGGAUAAGCAUUAAAACGAUGGAUGAAGAACUAACAAAUUUGAAUAUAUCAGAUGGUGAAGACACUAUAGAAGGACAACAAAUCGCAGAAGAAGAGGAUGGGGAAUACGAAUUAUGUUUGGUUGGGAAGGUAUUAACAGAAAGUGUGGUACACUUUCAGUCCAUGAGACGAAAGCUAGCAGAAAUAUGGCAUCCAGUGGGCAGAAUUUCUAUUACAGACGUGGUUUUUCAAUAGGCACCUAGUUUUGCUUCAUCGAUUGGAGAAAGCGGAGCAUUCGUUGCAAGUUCCAUUAUUUUUCGCAGAAUUUUGGGUACAAAUACAUAAUUUAUCGGGAGGUUUUAUGUCUAAAGGAAUGGCACGUCAACUUGGUGAUUUUAUUGGAAAAUUCAUGGGAGUAUGAUGCAGUUUCAGUAACUAGGGGAAUUAAAAAAUUUAUGAAGGUGAGAGUUAAGUUGGAAGUUCAUAAACCCUUAAAAAGAAAGAAGGGGAUAACCAUUGGUCAAAACGAAACAACUUAUGCUAAGUUCCAAUUAGAAAAGCUUUCCUUAUUUUGGUAUCUAUGUGGCAAAUUGGGGUAUGGAGAAGGUUUCUAUCUAGUUAGAUUAACAUUCAUAAAAAGUUGCUUUUGGAUGGGAUCUAUCAAUAAGAGUGCCAACAAGAAUGAAACAAAUGGAAGAUUGCAAGUGGUUGAGAGAGGAUAGAUCGAGAUCCAAGUCGGUUGUAGGGGGACAAUUGGUUGAUAUGGGGAAAGAUCAGUUGGAGUUAAUCCAAACCCUAUUUCACAUCAAGGAAGGAGAGGAAAAGAUACCAUUCAGCAAGAAGGGUUGAAUUAUAGAGGAGAGGAAGCUAGGUAUAUGGUGCUUGGCUCAGACACGGAGGAAAUUCCUAUUGGAAUAACUGAUACUAAGAAAAGACAGAGGUUCUCAGCGAGUUCUAUUGUUUCCCAUACCCAUAUAGAGGAUUCAAAGGAUUUUAAAAAUCCUCAUUAUAUCGACAACUGCUGAAAAGUAGACCGACCAAUCACAGUAAAAAUACUAAGCUAAAAUGUUCGUAGAUUGGAGCACCUACGGGAACUAGAGCGUCUCAAAAACAAAGUGAAAGAUAUGCAGCCCCAGAUUUGGCUUCUCAUGGAAACCCUAGUAUGCACAAAAAAAGAUUGAGCGAAUUCGAAGAAAGUGUGGCUUGCAGAAUGGCAUUGAUGUGGAUGCCUUAAGUUCUAAAGGAAGACUAUCGUUGGUUUGGAAGUAAGUGUAUAACAUUCAAUUACGAAGUUUUUCAUCCUCACACAUUGAUGUUGAAAUUACAAAAGAAGAUAUAAAAGUUCAGAGAUUUACAGGGUUUUAUGGAUCACUGGAGGAUAGUUAAAUAACGCUAAAAAUCUACCCUAGCUAGUAGUUGGAGACUUUAAUGAAAUUCUUCUCUUUUGAAAAGUAGGAAGAGCGUCAACGAGAAGAGAACCAAAUGUUGACAGUCCGUCAAGCAUUAGACGAUUGUAAUCUCACAGAUAUAGGGUUUUCAGGUCAGUGGUUUACAUGGGAGACAGGCAGACUUCCGAAUAAUAACAUACGUGAAUGGAUUCAUAGAUGAAUGGCGAACCUAGAAUGGUGGGCAAUGUUUUCAAAUUUUCGGGUAAGGCAUCUUACGUAUUCUAAAUCCGAACACUGUCCAAUUCUUGUAAAUGCAUUAAAUAACAGUUCAAAGCAGAAGGGACAAUGACAACCAAAAUUCUGAUUAAAUGAAAAUUGGGUAAUUGAAGGUCUUGAAAGCAAAAUUCAAAAGUGGUAGGAAGAACUACUAAACUUGAAGCAAUAGGAAAUAAAUUGAACAAUUGGGCUAAAGGCGAAUCAGUUGGGAAGGCAAUGUCAAACGACUUUCUAGAAUAUGAGAUUAGAAGAGUUAAAUGCGAAUACUGCAAAUGAAGAAAAUUUAGUAGAAUUAACAUAGACUAAGAUUGCACUAAAUUUAAAAGUAGACAAUGAGCUAUUUUGGGAACAACGUGCACGAGCUAAUUGGUAACGUUUUGGAGAUAAGAACACGCUGUAUUUCCAUAGCAUUGCGUCAACUAAAAAGAAAAGAAAUACAAUUUGGGAGCUAAAGAACGAUAGUGGAGAAUGGGUUCGAGAUGAAAAGAUUAUGGCAAACAUCGACACUGACUAUUUCAAAGAAUUGUUUACGACUUCCUUUACAGGAGAUAGCACUCGAACUCUAAUGGGAAUUCAACCAACAAUAAUGAAGUUAAUAACAUGGAGCUAACAAUGGAGUUUAAGAAUAAGGAGGUUGAAAAGGCAAUUAAAAGCAUGCCGCCAAUUAAAGCUUCUAGAGAAGACGAUUUCCCAACUUUAUUUUUUAAAAAGUACUGGAGUAUCGCAAGUAAGGAGACUACGAAAUAUUGCAUUCAAGUACUUAACAGUAAGCAAGGAUUGGAAAAUAUCAACCAUACAAAUAUCGUGCUUAUCCCAAAAAAAUGAUUCACCAACAAGUAUGACUCAAUUCAGAACAAUAAGCCUUUGUAAUAUGUUACAUAAAAUACUUUCCAAGGUCAUUGUUAACGAGUUUAUAAAUAUUGGACAAGUAUAUUGAUGAAGCCCAAGGAGCGUUUGUGCCCGGAAGACAAAUAAAAGAUAAUAUUCUUGUUGCUUAUGAGAUUUUACAUUCGUUCAAGAGGAAACAUGGACAUCAAGGUUCUUUUACGUUAAAACUAGAUAUAAGCAAAGCCUACAAUAGGGUGGAGUGGUGCUUUCUACAAAAAGUAUUGACUAAAAUGGAUUUUUGUAAUGAAUGGAUUAAAUUAGUAAUGACGUGUGGCUACAGUGACAUAUUCGGUUAUCUUUAAUGGUGAACAAGGUGAAAUUUUCAAUCCUUCAAGAGGGCUAUGGCAGGGGGAUCCGUUGAGUCUGUAUUUAUUUCUAAUAUGUGUUGAAGGCUUCUCAAGUCUACUUAGGGAAUCUAAGCGAUAGGACUUGAUAAAAGGGGCAAGAGUUGGUAAGAGUGGUGUUGGGCUCACACAUUUGCUUUUCGAUGACGACAAUAUUCUUUUUUGGAGACGCUUCAAUGGAUGGAGCAAACAGAAUGAAAGCUAUAGUAAAAAAAUAUGAAAGUGUCUCGAGUCAAUUGGUCAAUUUCAACAAGCCCCUCAUCUAUUUCAGUGCUAAUGUGAUGGAUGAACAGAAGGAACAAAUAAGAGGAAUUCUGGGAGUUCGAAUAUCUAAUAACUCGAAAAAGUACCUUGGGUUGCCAACAAUGUUGGGCAAAAAAAAGAAAAAUGCAUUCACUAACCUAAAGGAAAGUUUCGUUAAGCGAAUAGAGGGCUGGAGCACGAGGCAAUUGCCAAUGGAAAGAAAAAAGAUUCAUAAAAUCAAUUUUAUAGUCAAUUUCUAUUUAUGCAAUGCAAUGUUUCUUAUUACCAGGUUCUUUAUGCCACGAGUUAAAUAGCAUGAUUGCUUAGCUUGCGAAGCAAGGGUGGAGAUUAUGUCAAAGCCAGAUUGUUUGUUCGCAAAAAUUAUGAAAACAAAAUACCAUUCAAACACAAAUUUUAUGAAUGCAAGUAUAGGCUCUUACCCAUCAUAUACCUGGCGUAGCAUAUGGGCAUCUAGAAGGCGAUUGGAACAGGGUUGUGGUUGGCAUGUGGAAAAUGGUGCAAGCAUUAAUAUAUGAAUGGCAAUUGGUUGUUAGAGCCUGGACAAGGAAGAAUUCAAGGACACGAAAUUAAGACAAGAUAUACAAGAUACAGAAGGGUCGUUGAUUUAAUUGAAGUAGAUUCGGCUUUAUGGAAAGAAGAAAUUAUUGAAAACCUUUUUGAUGAGGAAACUACACGAAGGAUACUAACCAUACCUUUAUCAAGCUGUGAUUUGGUCUGGAGGGGCGACAAUUUCGAAAUCUACUCGAUCAAGAGCGGGUAAAGAUGGCUCGAAGCAGCAAAUACAACCACCAAUGAUAAUCUGGAUGAGUUACAAAAAUCCCUCUUUACAAAAAUAUACAAAAAUAUAGAGCCUAAGUCUAGCAAGUAAAAUAAAAAUUACAUGCUGGAAAAUUAUUAAAAAUUACAUGCUCAUUUUAUCGAAUUUACAGCAAAGAAAUAUUGGAGUACAAAGCACAUCUUCCGUGAGUGUCGUUUUACCGAACAAGUCCUGCAAAGUAUGGGAGUAACAUAUUCAACCAAUAUUGAGAACCAGAAUUGGAUAAAUUGGUUAGCUACGGAGUUACCAACAGGAGUUAUUUUAGGCCCUAUGGUACAAUCGUAAAAUGGUCUAUCACAAUGGAACGGGACAAAACGUUUUUGUAGUAGUUUCUUUCAGAAACGCCUACAUAUCAGAAAUUGAUAGCAUGGGUAUUAUAUCGAAAGGCAUGCAAGAAAAACAGGAGACUGUUUGGCAACCAGCGGAAGGAGAUAGUGUCAAAGUAAAUUUUGAUGCAUGUUUUAACAAUUACAUAAACAGCUCUGUUUCAGGGAUUAUUGUUAGAAAUAGCGAAAGCAUUAUAAUGGCAGCAAGCACUUACCCAAAUUUGCAUGUGAGAGAUGCGACAAUUGCAUAAGCACGAACAUGUCUAUAACGAAGAACUAGGUUUUCGGAGAAUAGUGGUUGAAGGGGACUCAUUUAGCAUUAUCAAAAAAGUGGUGGAUGCAAUAGAAGAUGAAUCGGUUAGUGCUGCUUUGAUAAAAGAAAGUAAAGCAAGGAUUAAGAAUUUUGAUUAUAUAAAGUUUAGAUUCGUACCUCGUAUGGCGAAUCGAGCAGCACACGAAAUGGCACAAAAAGGAAAAUGGUUCGACUCUUCGAUGUUCUGGAUCAAGGAAGCACCAGAAAGAGUGGAAAGAAUACCAGCUCUGGACAGAGGGAGAAUGGGCAGAGAAGAAGUUUCGAGAAUAUCUAAGUAAAAUUGUGAAAAAUGGGAGUCUUGAUGAGAUUAAAACACAGAGAAUAAGGAGGGAAAGGCCAGAGCAAGAUUACAGGAAACAAUCUUACCAGAAAUGAGAUAGAUCCACUCCUGCUACAAACACUGAUGAAGAGACGAAAGGUAAAAAAGAAGGCGGCUGACCGUUUGGUUUACACACCGGAUUUCUUUGGUUUUGUUUGAUUCUUUUGUUUGGUUUUCUUUAGGGGAAACGGGCCUUAAUGGCAAUUUAUUUUGACAGCUUACAGCAGGUGGGAUGUAAUGUAACCCUUUUUUUUCUUCCAUUUAAUGCAUCAGUAGAUCUUCG